rnacentral:rRNA from 1 species
UGAAGUGAUGAUGGCAAAGAGGUCACACCCGUUCCCAUACCGAACACGGAAGUUAAGCUCUUUAGCGCCGAUGGUAGUUGGGGGCUUCCC